UACGUAGGGGGCAAGCGUUGUCCGGAUUUAUUGGGCGUAAAGAGCGUGUAGGCGGCCAAGCAGGUCAGCUGUGAAAACUCGAGGCUCAACCUCGAGACGUCGGUUGAAACCGUUUGGCUAGAGUCCGGAAGAGGAGAGUGGAAUUCCCGGUGUAGCGGUGAAAUGCGCAGAUAUCGAGAGGAACACCUGCGGCGAAGGCGGGUUGCUGGGCUGAUACUGACGCUGAUGCGCGAAAGCCAGGGGAGCGAACGGG
rnacentral:rRNA from 1 species